rnacentral:rRNA from 1 species
CACGUAGGGGGCAAGCGUUGUCCGGAUUCAUUGGGCGUAAAGAGCUCGUAGGCGGUUCGAUAAGUCGGGUGUGAAACCUCCAGGCUCAACCUGGAGACGCCACCCGAUACUGUCGUGACUAGAGUCCAGUAGGGGAGCGUGGAAUUCCUGGUGUAGCGGUGAAAUGCGCAGAUAUCAGGAGGAACACCGGUGGCGAAGGCGGGUCUCUGGGCCGUAACUGACGCUGAGGAGCGAAAGCGUGGGGAGCGAACAGG